rnacentral:rRNA from 1 species
UACGUAGGGUGCAAGCGUUGUUCGGAAUUACUGGGCGUAAAGGGCGCGUAGGCGGCCUUCUAAGUCGAACGUGAAAUCCCUGGGCUCAACCCAGGAACUGCGUCCAAGACUGGGAGGCUUGAAUCCGGGAGAGGGAUGCGGAAUUCCAGGUGUAGCGGUGAAAUGCGUAGAUAUCUGGAGGAACACCGGUGGCGAAGGCGGCAUCCUGGACCGGUAUUGACACUGAGGCGCGAAAGCCAGGGAGCAAACGGG